CAGAGUGCUAGUAUUACAGGCAUGAGCCACCAUGCCCGGCCUUCAUUUCUAUAUUCAACAGACAAGGAAACUAAGUCCAGAGAAGUGAAAUGACAAAACCAAAUCCCAUAACUACCUACCAAUCCAGUCACAGGUAUUAUAGUUUCUUGAUUCUUCUGGUGAAAACCCAAUAUAUUACAGAGGAUUUUAUUCAUCAGCAGGUCUACCUGUGUUAGUAAAUAAUCCUGUCAAUUAGCUAUUGUAGAAGUUACAUAUGAUAGAAAACAGGAAAAAAUUUAAAGGUGAUCUUUAUUUGGGGUAGGAGUCUCCCAGAAUUAUUUCAGUAACACUUAGCAUAAUUUCAGAGGACUGAAUUCCCUCAGGGUUUGCUCUCUCUUCAAGAACAUUUGCGUUUGUUUUUCUCAACUAAUUACUGGUGCUUAACAGCUAUUUAAAGAAUAUUGGUUUGAAGGGGUGCCAGAUUACUACUUUUCCCAGGACUCCCACGUGACUUGAGCCAGUCCAUUCUCAGCCUCUCUUUUACCCCAUCCUCUAUCCAGUGUUGCUUAAUUGGUGCUACCUACUGCACAGUGUGGUACAGUCUCAUCAUCUGUGGCUCCUGAAAAGAUGGGGUACUGCAAGGAGUUAUGGGGUGGAGAGGAAUACAAGAGUAAUAAAUGAAAAGAUGAGAAAAAAA